rnacentral:rRNA from 1 species
GAUGAACGCUGGCGGCGUGCCUAAUACAUGCAAGUCGAGCGAACAGACGAGGAGCUUGCUUCUCUGACGUUAGCGGCGGACGGGUGAGUAACACGUGGAUAACCUACCUAUAAGACUGGGAUAACUUCGGGAAACCGGAGCUAAUACCGGAUAAUAUUUUGAACCGCAUGGUUCAAUAGUGAAAGACGGUUUUGCUGUCACUUAUAGAUGGAUCCGCGCCGCAUUAGCUAGUUGGUAAGGUAACGGCUUACCAAGGCAACGAUGCGUAGCCGACCUGAGAGGGUGAUCGGCCACACUGGAACUGAGACACGGUCCAGACUCCUACGGGAGGCAGCAGUAGGGAAUCUUCCGCAAUGGGCGAAAGCCUGACGGAGCAACGCCGCGUGAGUGAUGAAGGUCUUCGGAUCGUAAAACUCUGUUAUUAGGGAAGAACAAAUGUGUAAGUAACUAUGCACGUCUUGACGGUACCUAAUCAGAAAGCCACGGCUAACUACGUG